AUGAACGCUAGCGGCAGGCCUAACACAUGCAAGUCGAGGUAGAGGUUACCUUCGGGUAACCAAAACCGGCGCACGGGUGCGUAACGCGUAUACAAUCUGCCUUUCACAUAGGGAUAGCCCGAAGAAAUUUGGAUUAAUACCUAAUGGUAUAUAAAAGCGUCAUCGUUUUUAUAUUAAAGCUACGGUAGUUAAAGAUGAGUAUGCGUUCUAUUAGCUAGUUGGAGAGGUAACGGCUCCCCAAGGCGACGAUAGAUAGGGGUUCUGAGAGGGAUGUCCCCCACACUGGUACUGAGAUACGGACCAGACUCCUACGGGAGGCAGCAGUGAGGAAUAUUGGACAAUGGUCGGAAGACUGAUCCAGCCAUGCCGCGUGCAGGAUGAAGGUCAUAUGGAUUGUAAACUGCUUUUGUAAGGGAAGAAUAAGAGCUACGUGUAGUUUGAUGACGGUACCUUACGAAUAAGCAUCGGCUAACUCCGUG
rnacentral:rRNA from 1 species